rnacentral:rRNA from 1 species
CAGCCGCCGCGGGAAUACGAAGGGGGCUAGCGUUGUUCGGAUUUACUGGGCGUAAAGCGCACGUAGGCGGAUCGAUCAGUCAGGGGUGAAAUCCCAGAGCUCAACUCUGGAACUGCCUUUGAUACUGUCGAUCUGGAGUAUGGAAGAGGUGAGUGGAAUUCCGAGUGUAGAGGUGAAAUUCGUAGAUAUUCGGAGGAACACCAGUGGCGGAGGCGGCUCACUGGACCACUACUGACGCUGAGGUGCGAAAGCGUGGGGAGCAAACAGGAUUAGAUACCCCCGUAGUCCCUGUCUCUUAUAC